ensembl:snRNA U4 U4 spliceosomal RNA
AGCUUUGCAUAGUGGCAGCAUCAUAGCCAAUGAGGUUUAUCUAAGGCACGAUUAUUGCUAAUUGAAAACUUUUCCCAGUACCGCCAUGAUGACUUGAAAUAUAGUCAGCAUUGGCAAUUUUUGACAGUCUCUAUGAAGA